AUUGAACGCUGGCGGCAGGCUUAACACAUGCAAGUCGAGCGAGCGGCGGACGGGUGAGUAAUGUCUGGGAAACUGCCUGAUGGAGGGGGAUAACUACUGGAAACGGUAGCUAAUACCGCAUACCAUCAGAUGUCCCCAGAUGGGAGUAGCUAGGAGGAAGGGUAAUGGCUCACCUAGGCAACGAUCCCUAGCUGGUCUGAGAGGAUGACCACCACAACUGGAACGCAGAGACGGUCCCGACUCCUACGGUAGGUAGCAGUGGGGAGUAUUGCACAAUGGGCGCAAUCCUGAUGCAGCCCUUCCGGGUGUGCGACGAAGGCCUUCGGGUUGUAAAGCACUUUCAGCGAGGAGGCGUUACUCGCAGAAGAAGCACCGGCUAACUCCGUGCCAGCCGCCGCGGUAAUUC
rnacentral:rRNA from 1 species